rnacentral:tRNA from 1 species
GCGGGCGUGGCGGAAUCGGUAGACGCGCCGGCUUUAGGUGCCGGUGGGCAUCGCCCGUGGGGGUUCGAGUCCCUCCGCCCGCA